rnacentral:rRNA from 1 species
AAUGAACGCUGGCGGCAGGCCUAACACAUGCAAGUCGAACGGAUCCUUCGGGAUUAGUGGCGGACGGAUGAGUAACGCGUGGGAACAUACCCUUUGGUACGGAAUAGCCUCGGGAAACUGGGAGUAAUACCGUAUGUGGUCGAGAGACGAAAGAUUUAUCGCCAAAGGAUUGGCCCGCGUUGGAUUAGGUAGUUGGUGGGGUAAUGGCCUACCAAGCCGACGAUCCAUAGCUGGUUUGAGAGGAUGAUCAGCCACACUGGGACUGAGACACGGCCCAGACUCCUACGGGAGGCAGCAGUGGGGAAUUUUAGACAAUGGGGGAAACCCUGAUCUAGCCAUGCCGCGUGAUCGAUGAAGGCCUUAGGGUUGUAAAGAUCUUUCAGGUGGGAAGAUAAUGACUGUACCACCAGAAGAAGCCCCGGCUAACUCCGUGCCAGCCGCCGCAGUAA